rnacentral:rRNA from 1 species
UGCAAGUCGAACGAUGCUUUCGGGCAUAGUGGCGCACGGGUGCGUAACGCGUGGGAAUCUGCCUUGGGGUACGGAAUAACUCAGAGAAAUUUGAGCUAAUACCGUAUGAUGUCUUCGGACCAAAGAUUUAUCGCCCUGAGAUGAGCCCGCGUAGGAUUAGCUAGUUGGUGGGGUAAAGGCCUACCAAGGCGACGAUCCUUAGCUGGUCUGAGAGGAUGAUCAGCCACACUGGGACUGAGACACGGCCCAGACUCCUACGGGAGGCAGCAGUGGGGAAUAUUGGACAAUGGGCGAAAGCCUGAUCCAGCAAUGCCGCGUGAGUGAUGAAGGCCUUAGGGUUGUAAAGCUCUUUUACCCGGGAAGAUAAUGACUGUACCGGGAGAAUAAGCCCCGGCUAACUCCGUGCCAGCAGCCGCGGUAAUACGGAGGGGGCUAGCGUUGUUCGGAAUUACUGGGCGUAAAGCGCACGUAGGCGGCUUGGUAAGUUAGAGGUGAAAGCCUGGAGCUCAACUCCAGAAUUGCCUUUAAGACUG